GUGUCAGCCGCCGCGGUAAGACGAACCGUGCAAACGUUAUUCGGAAUCACUGGGCUUAAAGGGCGCGUAGGUGGUUGAUCAAGUCUGGGGUGAAAUCUUUCGGCUUAACCGGAAAAGUGCCUUGGAUACUGAUCAGCUGGAGGGAUGUAGGGGCAGUUGGAACUUCCAGUGGAGCGGUGAAAUGCGUUGAUAUUGGAAGGAACGCCGGUGGCGAAAGCGAACUGCUGGACAUCUUCUGACACUGAGGCGCGAAAGCUAGGGGAGCAAACGGGAUUAGAAACCCCUGUAGUCC
rnacentral:rRNA from 1 species